GGUUAAGCGACUAAGCGUACACGGUGGAUGCCCUGGCAGUCAGAGGCGAUGAAGGGCGUGCUAAUCUGCGAUAAGCGCCGGUAAGGUGAUAUGAACCGUUAUAACCGGCGAUACCCGAAUGGGGAAACCCAGUGUGAUUCGUCACACUAUCAUUAACUGAAUCCAUAGGUUAAUGAGGCGAACCGGGGGAACUGAAACAUCUAAGUACCCCGAGGAAAAGAAAUCAACCGAGAUUCCCCCAGUAGCGGCGAGCGAACGGGGAGGAGCCCAGAGCCUGAAUCAGCAUGUGUGUUAGUGGAAGCGUCUGGAAAGGCGCGCGAUACAGGGUGACAGCCCCGUACACAAAAGCGCAUGUGCUGUGAGCUCGAUGAGUAGGGCGGGACACGUGGUAUCCUGUCUGAAUAUGGGGGGACCAUCCUCCAAGGCUAAAUACUCCUGACUGACCGAUAGUGAACCAGUACCGUGAGGGAAAGGCGAAAAGAACCCCGGCGAGGGGAGUGAAAAAGAACCUGAAACCGUGUACGUACAAGCAGUGGGAGCCCCACCACUAAGCCAGUGGUGAACUCCACAUCCGCAUCCUUUGCUGAGGAUACGGUUAACGGAGCGAAAGCGACGUUCAACCGCAAAACAAGCAGAGGGGGCUUAGUGGUGGGGUGACUGCGUACCUUUUGUAUAAUGGGUCAGCGACUUAUAUUCUGUAGCAAGGUUAACCGAAUAGGGGAGCCGGAGGGAAACCGAGUCUUAAUUGGGCGUUAAGUUGCAGGGUAUAGACCCGAAACCCGGUGAUCUAGCCAUGGGCAGGUUGAAGGUUGGGUAACACUAACUGGAGGACCGAACCGACUAAUGUUGAAAAAUUAGCGGAUGACCUGUGGCUGGGGGUGAAAGGCCAAUCAAACCGGGAGAUAGCUGGUUCUCCCCGAAAGCUAUUUAGGUAGCGCCUCGUGAAUUCAUCUCCGGGGGUAGAGCACUGUUUCGGCUAGGGGGCCAUCCCGGCUUACCAACCCGAUGCAAACUGCGAAUACCGGAGAAUGUUAUCACGGGAGACACACGGCGGGUGCUAACGUCCGUCGUGAAGAGGGAAACAACCCAGACCGCCAGCUAAGGUCCCAAAGUCAUGGUUAAGUGGGAAACGAUGUGGGAAGGCCCAGACAGCCAGGAUGUU
rnacentral:rRNA from 2 species